AGAUCAGCUAUAAAAUUAUCAUAUCGUACUCUUGAUCAACUCCCGGCGCAACAGUGUAACAGAUUUCUGAUCAUUUCUCUCCUGACGCUUUGACGAGCUUAAAGAGAUUGUUGGUUCAAACGCUUCAAGGCCAUGACCUUAACGUUAUUUGAAAUAAGACUUUAGUACAAUUAGAAAAUAUCAUAUUUCACAUUCUAUUGGAAACAAGUGACAACUUGAAGUCGUGUUCCAACCUGAAGUUUUUCUCUCGCAGAAAAGCAUUGUAGUCUCUGGAGGGGAGUGAGGAAGUUCAUUUUCAAAAGAAUUUUGCUUCAAGGAUGAACAUAAAACUGCAUGUAUUUACAACGGAUGUAAAUACAAAAUAAAUUGUGUUUACUUAUGUUUCGCCUCAGUA